CUAUACAUGACUCUGUGCAUAUCAAUAAGCGGAGGAAAAGAAACUAACAAGGAUUCCCCUAGUAACGGCGAGUGAAGCGGGAAGAGCUCAAAUUUGAAAUCUUAAAGGGUUUCCCUUUACGAAUUGUAGUUUAAAGAAGUGUUUUCUGUUGAGGUUUUGGUAAAAGUUCUUUGGAAUAGGACAUCAUAGAGGGUGAGAAUCCCGUAUUUGACCUUUACUUUCAACUUUGUGAUACACUUUCAAAGAGUCGGAUUGUUUGGGAAUGCAGUCCAAAAUGGGUGGUAAAUUUCAUCUAAAGCUAAAUAUUGGCGAGAGACCGAUAGCGAACAAGUACCGUGAGGGAAAGAUGAAAAGAACUUUGGAAAGAGAGUUAAACAGUACGUGAAAUUGUCAAAAGGGAAGCGUUUGACACCAGUGUUGUUUUUCUGAAAAUCAAUUAAAGAACUGUUUAUGCUAAGCUGUUUAGACUUUAUCAGCUAUCUGUUUAGUUUUGAGCUUUUCUUUAAUGCACUUUCAGUUAACAAGUCAACAUCAAUUUCUUUUGCUGUAAAAAAGCUUGAGGAAGGUGGCUUGAGAUUCGUCUUAAGUGUUUAUAGCCUCUUGCCUAUGCAGUCGGAGAGAUUGAGGUCUGCAGCGUAGAUCCUUCGGGGCUAAAUGCAUUUGUGCUAAGUUAUAGCAUUUUAUAGACAACUUGUUGACUAUGAUUUGUCUUGUAGCUUACUCGCUUAUGUUAUUUUACCUACGCUUAGGAUGUUGAUCUACAGAGCGAGAGU
rnacentral:rRNA from 1 species